rnacentral:lncRNA from 1 species
CCCCAGUUCCCACCACCACUCCCAGCCUCUGGUAACCAUCCUUCUACUCUCCAGCUCCCUGAGUCCAGUUGUUUUAUUUUUUAGAUCCCACAAAUAAGUGAGAACAUGAAUGUUUGUCAUUCUGUUCCUGGCCGGCAAAUUCUUGAUAUCUAAUAGCAAAGCUUCCUACCUUCCCUCCUUCAAUUUUGUAUGAAUCAAAAUUAAUAUCUUUAUUAUAUCUUCAAAUCUGUGUGCUUGGUAUAUUCUCCAUUUAAGUUUUCUUUAAUGGCUUUCAUAAAGUUUUAUGAUUUUUCUUGUACAUCUUUUGUUAGAUUUAUUCCUAGACACUUGUAUUCUAAAUGUUAUCUUUAAAUUUAUUUAUUUUACCACUGUUAUCAGUGUAUUUAAGGAGAUUCUAACACUAUGUCUUUCAUCCAACAUAUUUCAUUGCUAAAGUUAUGAAAUCUGUCACAUUUUAAGUACUACAAAAUAUUAGCUGAUAUUAAUAGUAAUUAAAUUGAAGACAAUUUAUCUCAAGAAGUAUAGUUGAAAAUUAGAGAAACACUUGUAAUGCCCUGCACUUUCAAAGAAGUCUUUUAAGUUGACCAAGGUUUUGAAAAACUGCAGAUGUUACAAAUGAAACCUUUAGAAUGUUAACAAAGUCAAUUAUAUUUAUAUUUACUGCUUCCUUAAUUCUCUCUGUAUAAUUAAAUAAAUUGUAGCGUCAAAUAAAUUUUAAAUGAGGGCAUUAAAGUUUCCCUGAUUUUUUUUUCCCCCAAAGAAAAAGUAGGAAGCAAUGUAGCAAUUUGUUUACAGAUUCUCCUUCAUUUGAUUAUUUUGGAUUAUCAGGUCUUUUCGUGGUUAAAGUUUCAAAGGUGUCAGGAGAGGUUAUUUUUUUUUCUCUUUUGAAAUUCUGAAUUUAGUCUGUUUCCUGUUCCUGACUUAGUACACUUUUAAAUUUGGAGGGCCCUUAGAUGGUUGUCCCUCUGCCUUCCCUCUGGUGCAAGGCCCCAGCAUCUCAGUAGAUACUGCCAAAAUGUUUCCCAAGACAGGACGUUUACUGCUCCUUAAUAGGGUAGAAUUCUAAUUUUAAUUAUUGGUCCAGGAGGAAUUUUAAAAGUUAUGGGACUGGCUUUAGAGUUUUAAAUUUGCUGAAAACAGCAGUCUUAGAGUUGUGUUCAAAAUGCUUUGAAGUUUGUUAGGCAAUAUUUUAAAUAUUGAAUUUCUGAUUUCCAAACUUCAUGAAUGUGUGGAAGAAAAUUGGAAGUUUAAAUUGCAUUCAGGUGAAGAUUUAGAUAAUUAGAACGCUAGAAGAAGACUAUGAGUGAUUUCAUAGUACUCAUAAAAAAGUGAGUUCAACUUGCCCACUUCAAACUGUAGACUAAGAUCUGUUUCCUUUGAAAACUAAAUUUUAUUUUAGGAAAAAAUGCCAUAGACAGUGUCAGAUUGAAGGACUACCACCCCUGGGCUCAGUGGCUCACACCUGUAAUUCCUGCACUUUGGGAGGCUGAGGCAGGUGAAUCACUUGAAGUCAGGAGUUUGAGACCAGCCUGGCUAACAUGGUGAAAUC